AGAGACCAUUCAUAUUAAAAGCUUCUGAUAUUAUGUUAGGCUGAGAGAUGUUUUCAUCAAGCAAGAUUCAUCACCAUUAUCUCCACCUCGGGUGUCAUAUAAUUAAAUUUUACUAAGCAAAGUGGAGUGGAAGAAUGUGUCAACAGGGUGAUGUUGUCACCAGGCGAUGCCUGAAUGUAUUCUAGUCCUCACAUUCUUCGAGGAGGCUUCUUGAAUUGAAAGUACUUCAGUGAAAGAAAAGAGAAGAAGGAGUGGAGUCCUGUCAGCUUGGAGUAGUGAAUACUCAAUUCUUCAGAAACACCUCUAGUUUAUGAAUGUGGGAUGUUGUGCUUCUCUAUCCACAACUCAAAAUGCCUGACAAUUGCUUGAUAUUACUGCACAAUAUUUUGCUCAUGUUGUCAGCAGGAAAAAGCAUGCAAACCUUUACCUACAACGGGCAGCAGUCAAAAUAAACUGAAUGUUGAUGAUACCAAUGGGAGCAGUCAAAAUAAACUACAGGAUACCCUUUUGUGUUUACAAAAAGGCACCUAGCAGAAGAAAAUCUCAGAAUCCGAUUCCUUUUUCUAUCAGUUAACCACUUCUCUCCCAAACACAAAGCAAUUGUCACGGCAAUUUUUCAACAAAUUCCUGGGUUUUAAAAAUAAAUAUUUAGGUACACUAUACAUACACUACACACAAAUUGAAACAGCAGCUUUCCUCAUGUAGAAUGACCCACUGCUGGAAGAGCCCAGAAGAUGGUCAUACGAUCUCUACUAUAGUUGCCAGGAGAUGACAGAAUCAAGAACAGCUGGGACGGAGCUGAAAUCCUUCUGUGUCAAAAUAUUAUGAAGAAUUGUUUUUGAAUUAAUGAAUAGUAAAGCAAACAUGUGAGUCAGUGGAAUGCAUAGAAUGGAAAAAUAUAUGCACCCUUUAAGCCUUCAGGUAAUCUUAUAAUGCAGUUAUAAUGAGAAUGCAGAAUUAACCAGAAAAGAAAAUAUUGCUUGGAAAAGGGUGUUGGUGACAGAAGGAAGAGAG